UAAUCAGAGCAAUCGUGCCUUUACACGGGCCACCACGGUAAAGGCUUUCUGCACCGUAUUUCAUGAAAUAAUCUGCAGCAAUCACUAUACUAAAGAAAGAAAGAAGAUACAUGUUCUCUGGAUGACUGUUCAGCCUGAGCAAAUGCCAAAAGCUGUUAAGCAAUGCCCAUUGCUAAAACAAAUUCUUUCAGCUCGUGUCGCCAAGGUUAAAGGAGAUAUUUCCAUAACUACAAGCAAAUUAAUUUGGAGUUUUGCAUCAACAAUAAUGAGAUGGGGCAAUAAGAAGAUAUAGGGAGGACAACUGAUUGGGAAAUGGCUGCCGGUGAAAAGACUGCUUAUUACAGUUCCCAAGAAGAGAGGACAUGCCACAUCAUGCAAGGCCAUACAGGGGAGCACCAAGGAAGGUGUUAAUGAAAUACAAGUGGAGAAAGACUAGAAUGGAGUACCUUGGAUAAUGGAUGUAAAUAUUCUACAAAAUAAAAACUAGA